UAUUUCCUAUGGUUUUGUUCGUGUUCCGCGUACAAUCCAUUAACAUCUGACCUUUAUAUUAGCCAUCAUUAUAGGAAAGUAACUGCAAUCUCUUUGUCUUUCCCUGCAGAAACCUCUGCGCCAUGAGAGCCAAGUGGAGGAAGAAACGAAUGCGCAGGCUGAAGCGCAAAAGAAGAAAGAUGAGGCAAAGGUCCAAGUAAAAUAGCUGUACACUCAUGGAGGCCUAAGGAGCAGAAAUAAGGAAUGCUGGAGGCUGAGGACGCUGGUACAAGUUGUCGGACUGCAUGCUACUGUCUGGAGUGUGUUUCGAGGAAUAAGAACUUCAUUACCAUCUGAUCGCCAAGACCACCGCAGAGAGCCACCUUGUUCAUGACUGAAGCAGUCCCCGUCGGUCGGUCUUUUGCCCUGGACCUGUGGCAUUCCGGACUACUUCUGGUCUCAGUUAUGGUCGAGUGUAACGCGUGUACAAUAAAUCAUCUCUUCUGCUGUCAGCUGAAGAAU